UGCUUAAGACAUGCAAGUCGAACGAAGCUCUUGUAGCAAUACGAGAGUUGAGUGGCGAAUGGGUGCGUAACACGUAGGUGACCUGCCCUGAAGCGGGGAAUAACAGUUCGAAAGGACUGCUAAUACCGCAUGUGGUUCUCGCCUUUUGAAAACGGGAACGAAAGGUCGCCGUAAGGCGAUCACUUCAGGAGGGGCCUGCGGCCCAUCAGCUAGUUGGUAGGGUAAUGGCCUACCAAGGCAACGACGGGUAGGGGACCUCAGAGGGUGACCCCCCACACUGGCACUGACACACGGGCCAGACUCCUACGGGAGGCAGCAGUCGGGAAUAUUGCCCAAUGGCCGAAAGGCUGAGGCAGCAACGCUGCGUGCGCGAUGAAGGCCUUCGGGUCGUAAAGCGCUUUUCGGGUGGAUGAGCAAGGACAGUACACCCGGAAUAAGGUACGGCUAACUACGUGCCAGCAGCCGCGGUAAAACGUAGGUACCGAGCGUUAUCCGGAUUUACUGGGCGUAAAGCGCGUUUAGGCGGUUCGUUAAGUUCGUUGUGAAAGCCCCGGGCUCAACCUGGGAAUGGCAAUGGAAACUGGCGGGCUUGAGUAUGGCAGAGGGGGGUGGAAUUCCGCGUGUAGCAGUGAAAUGCGUAGAGAUGCGGAGGAACACCGAUGGCGAAGGCAGCCCCCUGGGCCAAUACUGACGCUCAGGAGCGAAAGCAUG
rnacentral:rRNA from 1 species